AGAACGAACGCUGGCGGCAUGCCUAACACAUGCAAGUCGAACGAAGCCUUCGGGCUUAGUGGCGCACGGGUGCGUAACGCGUGGGAAUCUGCCCCUCGGUUCGGAAUAACAGUUGGAAACGACUGCUAAUACCGGAUGAUGACGUAAGUCCAAAGAUUUAUCGCCGAGGGAUGAGCCCGCGUAGGAUUAGCUAGUUGGUGAGGUAAAGGCUCACCAAGGCGACGAUCCUUAGCUGGUCUGAGAGGAUGAUCAGCCACACUGGGACUGAGACACGGCCCAGACUCCUACGGGAGGCAGCAGGUGGGAAAUAGUUGGACAAUGGGCGAAAGCCUGAUCCAGCAAUGCCGCGUGAGUGAUGAAGGCCCGUCGGGUACGUAAAGCUUCUUUUAACCGAGGGUAUGAUAAGUGACAGUACC
rnacentral:rRNA from 1 species